UCGUCAUGGUCCCUGAAGUCUCUUUCUCUCCUGAUUCUUCCAUGGGGCCCCUCCUCCUGCAGGGCCAGCAGUGCCAUUAUGCUGCAUUAGCCUAGGCAC